CUCAAUGCCAAGUCUGUGAGGGCCCAUUGCUGCCUGUUACUGAUGCAGAAUCAGGGAGCAUUUGUUUGUAGCCAUGAGCUGGGCUGCUCUCACCUCUCAGCUGCUGCAAAGCUCUGCAGCCAUGGACACCCUGGAAAUGGCAUCUUCAGCAAAACCUGGCUUACAAAGGAGUGGCACAUAAACCAAGAGCACGUUUGAGGAGAACCUUCUUUCUUGUAAGCUCUAGAGGAGGAGUCCUAGUCUUCUUUCUAAUCCUGUGAACAAGAAAAUAAUCUGGAACCCUGAAGGGGUAAACUUGGAAGGGAACCUGUGAAAUAAGUAACUGAAUGAAACAGAAUAGUUUGAAGACUGAGCAGCAUUCACACCAAGCAGUCCCCAGGCUGCCGGAUGCCCUUGCCAGGACUGCCGCAGCUGAGCAUAGGUCGGUGUUGCCACCUGGUGGCACGGGACAGCGACACUGCCGCUCGGAAAUGGGACUGUCAAGCAGCAAAGACACGCAUCACAACUGAUAUCUAAGACAUAUUUUAUUAUUUAAUCUUUUGCUUUCUACAGAAUCAAGGUUUUACUGCUCACCGUCCCCACGGUGCGUUCACAUGGUUCCAUUUCACCAACACUGAAUCCUUGGUCGGUGUGACAGCCCCACCUGCUUACCAAGGGGCUCAGAAGGUCUUCGAAGGCUCCUCUUUUUUCAGCAGGUGCCUCCAUAAUCCUCUCACGCCCUUUUUAGUUAUCAGCCAUAGCCACUGCUCUUCAGCUGUGGUCUGAGUUACAAACCUAUUGCUAGCAGUGGCCUUGCAUGGAUUUGGCAGAUUCUUGCUGUGUUGAGUUUAUUUGUUCUCAUGAAUUCAGCAGCCUGCUGGGUUACAGGUCCAGCAUUUGUCAGCUCACACAAAAGGGCUUGUACAGCAACUUGGCCUAGAAAGCAAUUCCACAGAAUAUUAAGAUUUGUUUAAGAAGUCACCCAAACCCAGUUAUAUCUGUGCUAGAGAAAUGAAAACUGCUGCAAUUUGGAAAAGGUUGAGUAAUCAUUUUCCAAAAUUUUAAAAUCUUAUGGAAUUACCUGGAUAGUAGAAAAAAAUGUCACUGGAUCUGUAUCUUCUCAGCUCUUUAGAUAUUUCAGCAGUGUUUAAAACGUACAAGUGGGCAACAGUGAGCCUGCAAUUUCUCUUUUUAAAUCUGACAAGGAAACAUAAUUCUCAUCAUACAGUAUGUUAAGUGCAUCUUUCUGAGACGGGCAGAGGAGUCCUGCUAAACUGGGGUGUAGGAGACCACAAAUUCACUCUGGUGAUUAUAUCUAACACUCUGUAAAAUACAGAGGAAAAACCUGGGAAAACAAGGAGCUAAGAGCUAAAUCUACAUUGUUAACAGGACAACUAGCCCCUUUCUUCCCAACACAUGAAAAAAAAAAUAUAUUUGGUAGAAUUUUUCAAAUAUGAUUACAAAAAUCUAGUAUACAAAGUAAGUACAAAAAAAAGCACUUCCUACUUUUUAAAAACAAUUUAUUAGAUUAUCACAUGAUAACACUGUUGUGUGACUAAGUGAUUUUUUCAGCCACUGCUGCAGAUCCACAAGGAGUACACAGCACAGUCUGAGAAGCAGCUAAGAACAUCUUUGCAAAGUGUCAAAUGUAAAUGUGAAGCACACAAGCAAAAAAUAGCCAAAAGAGAUCUUUGAUAAAAGCAGCAGCUCGAUUGUUUUGUACAGCAUGCAAUGUUCCUGUGAAUUCCAAUGAAAAAACAAGCUGUGACAAACACUUGAGAGUGUUCUGCAUAAACAGAAGCUUCAGGCAUUUGAAAGUGGAGAAGACAAGGCAGAUAUUAAAAGUGGUUAGUGCGCUAUUUGCUCUGAAGGUUAAGAACAACCACGUCAUGGACUGGAAUUUUCCCACCUUAGAGACUUUCUCAUAGCUAACGGUAAACUACAUUUUCUACAGAGUGCUGCUUGGAAAAGCUAUUUGGAGUACUCUUUCAAAACCAGUCACAUCACUCUUCUCGAUUGCUCUAUGAAAAAUAUGCUUCCCAAAGCUUUUAAAAAUAAAUCAUGUGCAAGGGCUACUGCA
rnacentral:lncRNA from 1 species